CCUACGGGAGGCUGCAGUGAGGACUAUUGGUCAAUGGGAGAGAUCCUGAACCAGCCAAGCCGCGUGAGGGAAGACGGCCCUAUGGGUUGUAAACCUCUUUUGUCGGAGAACAAAACCCGCCACGCGUCCCGCACUGCGUGUAUCCGAAGAAAAAGCAUCGGCUAACUCCGUGCCAGCCGCCGCGGUAAUACGGAGGAUGCGAGCGUUAUCCGGAUUUAUUGGGUUUAAAGGGUGCGUAGGCGGUCCGUUAAGUCAGCGGUAAAAUUGCGGGGCUCAACCCCGUCGAGCCGUUGAACCUGGCAGACUUGAGUGGGCGAGAAGUACGCGGAAUGCGCGGUGUAGCGGUGAAAUGCAUAGAUAUCGCGCAGAACUCCGAUUGCGAAGGCAGCGUACCGGCGCCAAACUGACGCUGAGGCACGAAAGCGUGGGGAUCGAACAGGAUUAGAUACCCGGGUAGUC
rnacentral:rRNA from 1 species